rnacentral:rRNA from 1 species
AUUGAACGCUGGCGGCAUGCCUUACACAUGCAAGUCGAACGGUAACAGGUCUUCGGACGCUGACGAGUGGCGAACGGGUGAGUAAUGCAUCGGAACGUGCCCAGUCGUUGGGGAUAACUGCUCGAAAGAGCAGCUAAUACCGCAUACGACCUGAGGGUGAAAGCGGGGGACCUUAAGGCCUCGCGCGAUUGGAGCGGCCGAUGUCAGAUUAGCGAGUUGGUGGGGUAAAGGCCUACCAAGGCAACGAUCUGUAGUUGGUCUGAGAGGACGACCAGCCACACUGGGACUGAGACACGGCCCAGACUCCUACGGGAGGCAGCAGUGGGGAAUUUUGGACAAUGGGCGCAAGCCUGAUCCAGCAAUGCCGCGUGCAGGAAGAAGGCCUUCGGGUUGUAAACUGCUUUUGUCAGGGAAGAAAUCUUCUGGGCUAAUACCCCGGGAGGAUGACGGUACCUGAAGAAUAAGCACCGGCUAACUACGUG